GACGAACGCUGGCGGCGUGCUUAACACAUGCAAGUCGAACGGUGAAGCCCUUCGGGGUGGAUCAGUGGCGAACGGGUGAGUAACACGUGAGCAACCUGCCCCUGGCUCUGGGACAACCACUGGAAACGGUGGCUAAUACCGGAUACGACCCGCCUCGGCAUCGAGUGUGGGUGGAAAGUUUUUCGGCUGGGGAUGGGCUCGCGGCCUAUCAGCUUGUUGGUGAGGUGUAGGCUCACCAAGGCGACGACGGGUAGCCGGCCUGAGAGGGCGACCGGCCACACUGGGACUGAGACACGGCCCAGACUCCUACGGGAGGCAGCAGUGGGGAAUAUUGCACAAUGGGCGAAAGCCUGAUGCAGCGACGCCGCGUGAGGGAUGACGGCCUUCGGGUUGUAAACCUCUUUCAGCUCCGAAGAAGCGAAAGUGACGGUAGGAGCAGAAGAAGCACCGGCUAACUACGUG
rnacentral:rRNA from 1 species